AGAGUUUGAUCCUGGCUCAGGACGAACGCUGACGGUGUGCUUUAGGCAUGCAAGUCGAACGAGAAAGCCCUUCGGGGUGAGUAAAGUGGCGAACGGGUGAGUAACACGUGGGCAACCUGCCCCUCGCAGGGGGACAACCGGAGGAAACUCCGGCUAAUACCCCGUAAGCUUGUUGGGCCGCAUGGCUCUUCAAGGAAAGGUAGCUUCGGCCAUCCGGCGAGGGAUGGGCCCGCGUUGCAUUAGCUAGUUGGUGGGGUAACGGCCCACCAAGGCGACGAUGCGUAGCUGGUCUGAGAGGAUGAUCAGCCACACUGGGACUGAGACACGGCCCAGACUCCUACGGGAGGCAGCAGCCAGGAAUCUUGGGCAAUGGGCGAAAGCCUGACCCAGCAACACCGUGUGAGUGACGAAGGCUCUAGGGUCGUAAAGCUCUGUUGAUAGGGACGAAGGGUGAAGGGUUAAUAGCCCCCAGCUUGACGGUACCUUUCGAGGAAGCCCCGGCUAACUACGUGCCAGCAGCCGCGGUAAUACGUAGGGGGCGAGCGUUGUCCGGAAUUAUUGGGCGUAAAGAGCGUGUAGGCGGUUCGGUAAGUCUGUCGUGAAAUCCUGGGGCUCAACCCCGGGCGUGCGAUGGAUACUGCCGGGCUAGAGGGUGGUAGAGGCGAGUGGAAUUCCGAGUGUAGCGGUGAAAUGCGCAGAUAUUCGGAGGAACACCAGUAGCGAAGGCGGCUCGCUGGGCCACACCUGACGCUGAGACGCGAAAGCGUGGGGAGCGAACAGGAUUAGAUACCCUGGUAGUCCACGCCGUAAACGAUGGAUACUGGGUGUUGGGGGAGUCGAAUCCCUCGGUGCCGAAGUUAACGCGUUAAGUAUCCCGCCUGGGGAGUACGGCCGCAA
rnacentral:rRNA from 1 species